AAUUGUCUCUGCAAUGUCAAAUCCAAUAAAUGUUUUAUUUUUUUCAAUUUCAAUUUAUUUUAAAAGAAAUGGGGAAUAAUUUAGUGCAAGGGUGACAAUAUAUUUGGCUUCAACUGUGUAGUGUGUGUGUGUGUGUGUGUUCGCUUUGUCGUGGUCUAGUGUGAAAUUAUUCACACACUCAAACGCACUGACCUACACCAUGGACUGACCUCCAGGUACAUGCAGAAGUACUUAUCUGCCCUAACGUGUGUGUGGUGUGUCAGGUCUACAAGGUUCGAUGCCAAGAUGGAGAGGCGGACAAAUAAGAUGAAGGGAAAACAGGAAGAGAGGUAAAACGUCAUCGUGGCACACCAACAUCUGUGUAUUUCUCUAUAUAUGUGAAGCAAUUUGCAACUAAAGAAUGUGUUUUGUAAUCUAUGUAUCUGUAUUUACAUGGCUGUUACCCAGUCAGGCCCUGUGUGUGUAUUCAGCUGGCCUACUACAAAUCCCACAGGGAGAUAUGGUAAACGUUACCCAGUCAGGCCCUGUGUGUGUAUUCAGCUGGCCUACUACAAAUCCCACAGGGAGAUAUGGUAAACAUUACCCAGUCAGGCCCUGUGUGUGUGUAUUCAGCUGGCCUACUACAAAUCCCACAGGGAGAUAUGGUAAACGUUACCCAGUCAGGCCCUGUGUGUGUGUAUUCAGCUGGCCUACUACAAAUCCCACAGGGAGAUAUGGUAAACGUUACCCAGUCAGGCCCUGUGUGUGUGUAUUCAGCUGGCCUACUACAAAUCCCACAGGGAGAUAUGGUAAACGUUACCCAGUCAGGCCCUGUGUGUGUGUAUUCAGCUGGCCUACUACAAAUCCCACAGGGAGAUAUGGUAAACGUUACCCAGUCAGGCCCUGUGUGUGUGUAUUCAGCUGGCCUACUACAAAUCCCACAGGGAGAUAUGGUAAACGUUACCCAGUCAGGCCCUGUGUGUGCUGUAUUUGACUUUAGUGUGUCUCUGACGAUGUGACUGCGAUCAGAACAAUGCUCCAAGUUUAUUUUGUUAGUUUCAUGGAACAAACCUUUACAUACGUCACAGCUAAGCUAACCGCCCAAACCGGCUUGUGCUCUAUGACUUCUUACCAACCUGGCUGGUCUGAAAGGUUGUGCAGUCCUCUCAAAAUAUGAAGUGUGUGUCUAACCAGCUGGUUGUCUUUGUGUUAACAGAAAGGCAGAGAUGAUGAGGCAUGAAGAAAUCAGAACGAAAUAUGGUCUCAGUGGGUUCAACCCGUACUCCAAAUUCUCUUGAGCUGAUAUUUGAACACUGUACUAUCAACUGCCUGCCUUCUCUUCACCUUCGACCUUUCACCUUCGACCCCCCCCAAGGACUGUUAACCUUAUUGUCUGUUCUAUGCUCAGCUUACCCUCCCUUAAACCAAAAGUAGAGGUGUUUGUAUCAUUUCAGACCGUAGUUUUGAAUGUAGCGCUCACAAGCCAAAACGGGUCGCCAAAUAAUGUGCACAACGUCACUUAUUUCGUAAUAUGUUACGUCCUGCAAAAAAAAAUAAAAAAUCCUGCAAUUCGUAUGAUGUUACGAAUUCCAAUUCGUACAAUAUGUUACGAAUGUGUAAGUGCUUAAGAUCCCGUUCAAUCUCUUUAACCGUUUGAGGAGAAUACAUGAAACUGGCCUUAGAUCAAAGUUUUGGUACAACCUGUUUAUACAACAUUAUCUGCCCAUGUAACACAGGUCAUUAAACAUUGUGUUGAAUGUAAUGAACAAAGUAUUCUACGAAUGCUUAGCUAGAACAAGUUCUGCGCUGCUUGGUGAGUGGUGCAGUGCUGAACAUGUCUUGCAGUGCAGACUGUGAGAGCAGUGGAAAGGUGCAGUAGCCUUAGCAACUUACCUUAUUUAUACCAUCUUCCUUCUGUGACUACUACUGUAUUAUAAACUCAUGCUGGUAUUUGAGGGUUACUACUUGGUUAUAGGAGAUCUUGCCUAUGCUCUACUUGAUUGAGAAGAUGCACUCCAGAAAAGUUGACCUUUUCUAUGUACAUUCAUCUUAUGGUGAUCUAUUGUUAAUGUGUCCAGUGCACACCUGUACUCCAUCAAACAAUAAACUUGUAUAGAUGUAUUGUCCUAAUUUAAACCAGAAUUGUACUUAAUGAUGCACUAUGCAGAAAUCCCUCUGCCAUUUCCUGCUUGCAAAAAUUCUAAUAGUUCACCUAAUUUCAGUUUGUGACAAAACAAGCGACUAUAGUUUAGAGAAUCAUUGUACCAUCUAAACAGCUGUGGAAUAUGUUUUCCUUACGCUAAGCAUAGAAAUAUUGCACAUACAACAGGUCUGCCGCUUCUUAGACUUGCUUUCAUUUCUAUGUGAAUUUGGUCUGGUUGCCCAAAAAGUUACAUAUUGCAGCUUUAAAUAGGAGGGUGUUCAGAAGAGUUGAAUUCUCAAAAUUGCAGAUAGAAAUGUACCCUACCAUAUAGAAUGUACACACCUUGUACAAUGAGACAAAGAAUGUCAGAUCUAAGUAAUAGAUUUCUACCUGUGACAGCUUUCUCAUUACAGACACCAGCUACUUCCGUUAGAAUCUUGUCAGGCCAAAUUAAGCCAUUUUUUUAUUGAUGUCAAGUUGUGUAAUAAACUACCCUUUGUCUGUUGA